CCCUUAGAUGUUCUGGGCUGCACGCGCGCUACACUGAUGCGAUCAACAGGUUUUUCCUAUGUCGAUAGACACGGGUAAUCUUUUGAACUCGCAUCGUGAUGGGGAUAGAUUAUUGUAAUUAUUAAUCUUCAACGAGGAAUUCCUAGUAGGUGCAAAUCAUCAGUUUGCAUCGAUUACGUCCCUGCCCUUUGUACACACCGCCCGUCGCUGCUACCGAUUGGUUGAUCUGGUGAAUUAUUCGGACUGCCGGCUGAAGGGGUUUCCUCAUCUGCCAGCGGAAAGUCUUGUUAACCCUAUCAACUAGAGGAAGCAGAAGUCGUAACA
rnacentral:rRNA from 1 species